rnacentral:rRNA from 1 species
CCAACCUUCUUAUCAGGUUUGACCUCGGAUCAGGUGGGGAUACCCGCUGAACUUAAGCAUAUCAAUAAGCGGAGGAAAAGAAACCAACCGGGAUUGCCUCAGUAACGGCGAGUGAAGCGGCAACAGCCCAAAUUUGAAAUCUGGCCCUAGGCCCGAGUUGUAAUUGGCAGAGGAUGCCUCGGGUGCGACGCCGGUCUAAGUUCCUUGGAACAGGACGUCAUAGAGGGUGAGAAUCCCGUCUGCGACCUGGCGUGGCGCCCGUGCGAGGCUCCUUCGACGAGUCGAGUUGUUUGGGAAUGCAGCUCUAAGCGGGUGGUAAAUUCCAUCUAAGGCUAAAUACCGGCCAGAGACCGAUAGCGCACAAGUAGAGUGAUCGAAAGAUGAAAAGCACUUUGGAAAGAGAGUUAAACAGCACGUGAAAUUGUUGAAAGGGAAGCGCUUGCAGUCAGACUCGUCCGCGGCCGAUCAGCCGGUGUUCUCACUGGUGCACUGGGCCGUGGACGGGCCAGCAUCGGUUUCGGCGGCGGGACAAAGGCCCUGGGAAUGUGGCCCCCCUCGGGGGGCGUUAUAGCCCGGGGUGCAAUGCCGCCUGCCGGGACCGAGGCCCGCGCUUCGGCGAGGAUGCUGGCGUAAUGGCUGUAAGCGACCCGUCUUGAAACACGGACCAAGGAGUCUAACAUCUACGCGAGUGCUUGGGCAUCAAACCCACGCGCGCAAUGAAAGUGAACGGAGGUGGGAACCCUUAAGGGUGCACCAUCGACCGAUCCUGAUGUCUUCGGAUGGAUUUGAGUAGGAGCGUAGCUGUUGGGACCCGAAAGAUGGUGAACUAUGCCUGAAUAGGGUGAAGCCAGAGGAAACUCUGGUGGAGGCUCGCAGCGGUUCUGACGUGCAAAUCGAUCGUCAAAUUUGGGUAUAGGGGCGAAAGACUAAUCGAACCAUUACUUAGGUACGCGCCGGCACAGGCCGGGGCGACUAGGUGGUUAAGAGGCAGCUGAAAGUGCGUGCCUAGUCCCCCUCCUCGGGGCAACACCGUCAAAUUGCGGGGACGUCCUAAAGGCGCUGUCACCAAGCGGGCGUGGAAACACGAUCCGUGGCCGGGGUAAUGACCUAGGGUAUGGUAAAAGCACAGCGCAUGAACCCCCCGGGGGCGAAAUGGAUAAUCCGCAGCCAAGUUCUAAGGGACCCAGUCCUAGGAAUGCAGUUCACAGACUAGAUGUCGGUGGGUCCGGCGCGCCUCCUGCGCUGCCGGGCUUAAGGUAUAGUCGAUCCGCCCAGAGAUGGGUACAGCGAGACGAAGCUGUCGGGGAGAGAGAGGUGCCUCUGGGCAUUUUCCAACGGCCCGAGCUUGCUGAGGGCGCCGCCUGGCGGUGCCCGGAGUCGAUGCUAGUAGCUGGUUCCUGCCGAAGUUUCCCUCAGGAUAGCAGUAACGUCUUCAGUUUUAUGAGGUAAAGCGAAUGAUUAGAGGCCUUGGGGUUGAAACAACCUUAACCUAUUCUCAAACUUUAAAUAUGUAAGAAGUCCUUGUUGCUUAGUUGAACGUGGACACUCGAAUGUAUCGUUACUAGUGGGCCAUUUUUGGUAAGCAGAACUGGCGAUGCGGGAUGAACCGAACGCGAGGUUAAGGUGCCGGAAUGCACGCUCAUCAGACACCACAAAAGGUGUUAGUUCAUCUAGACAGCCGGACGGUGGCCAUGGAAGUCGGAAUCCGCUAAGAAGUGUGUAACAACUUACCGGCCGAAUGAACUAGCCCUGAAAAUGGAUGGCGCUCAAGCGUGCUACCCAUAC